rnacentral:rRNA from 1 species
GCCUACGGGGCGCAGCAGUGGGGAAUAUUGCACAAUGGGCGAAAGCCUGAUGCAGCAACGCCGCGUGAAGGAAGACGGUUUUCGGAUUGUAAACUUCUGUUCUUAGUGAAGAAUAAUGACGGUAACUAAGGAGCAAGCCACGGCUAACUACGUGCCAGCAGCCGCGGUAAUACGUAGGUGGCAAGCGUUGUUCGGAAUAACUGGGCGUAAAGGAUGCGUAGGCGGUUAAACAAGUUAUAUUUUAAAUAUAUAGGCUUAACCU